CCUACGGGGGGCAGCAGUGAGGAAUAUUGGUCAAUGGGCGCAAGCCUGAACCAGCCAAGUCGCGUGAGGGAUGACGGUCCUAUGGAUUGUAAACCUCUUUUGUCGGGGAGCAAGGCCCGCCACGUGUGGCGGGAAGGAGAGUACCCGAAGAAAAAGCAUCGGCUAACUCCGUGCCAGCAGCCGCGGUAAUACGGAGGAUGCGAGCGUUAUCCGGAUUUAUUGGGGUUAAGGGGUGCGUAGGAGGAAGGUUAAGUCAGCGGUAAAAUGUCGGUGCUCAACACCGGCCUGCCGUUGAAACUGGUCUUCUUGAGUGAGCGAGAAGUAUGCGGAAUGCGUGGUGUAGCGGUGAAAUGCAUAGAUAUCACGCAGAACUCCGAUUGCGAAGGCAGCAUACCGGCGCUCAACUGACGCUGAGGCACGAAAGCGUGGGGAUCGAACAGGAUUAGAUACCCCAGUAGUC
rnacentral:rRNA from 1 species